rnacentral:rRNA from 1 species
UACAGAGGGGGCAAGCGUUGUUCGGAAUUACUGGGCGUAAAGGGCGCGUAGGCGGCCUGUUAAGUCGAACGUGAAAUCCCCGGGCUCAACCCGGGAACUGCGUCCGAUACUGGCAGGCUUGAAUCCGGGAGAGGGAUGCGGAAUUCCUGGUGUAGCAGUGAAAUGCGUAGAUAUCAGGAGGAACACCGAUGGCGAAGGCAGGUCUCUGGGCUGACACUGACGCUCAUGCACGAAAGCGUGGGGAGCAAACAGG